rnacentral:rRNA from 1 species
CCUACGUUGCCAGCAUUCAGUUGGGCACUCUAAGGUGACUGCCGGCUAAAAGUCGGAGGAAGGUGGGGAGUGACGUCAAAUCAUCAUGCCCCUUACUGACCUGGGCUACACACGUGCUACAAUGGGCGGUACAAAGGGUCGCGAACCCGCGAGGGGGAGCCAAUCCCAAAAAGCCGCUCUCAGUUCGGAUUGCAGGCUGCAACUCGCCUGCAUGAAGCCGGAAUCGCUAGUAAUCGCGGAUCAGCAUGCCGCGGUGAAUACGUUCCCGGGCCUU